CCGCCUUACCUUUCCUAUGACAUCUGUUACCAGUUUGAGGGCCAGAGGAUCAUGAACCAACGAGUCCGUGUAAAAGGAACCAAGAGACUUGGAAUAGUUCAAGCAACUUCUAAUUGAUGGUGAUUUGGACUUGGUUCUUAGUAGUGGAAAUGGAGGGUUCCGCGGAUAAUUGGAAAAACCCAAGAGUUGGUUCUCUGUUCCUGAAGCCCAAACGGAUACAUACCUACAAGCCAAGGGAACCAGUAUUUUGCCAUCCGUCCAUCCAUCUGCAUGUCCCAG